rnacentral:rRNA from 1 species
AUUGAACGCUGGCGGCAUGCCUUACACAUGCAAGUCGAACGGUAACAGGUUAAGCUGACGAGUGGCGAACGGGUGAGUAAUGUAUCGGAACGUGCCCAGUCGUGGGGGAUAACUACUCGAAAGAGUGGCUAAUACCGCAUACGACCUGAGGGUGAAAGCGGGGGACCGUAAGGCUUCGCGCGAUUGGAGCGGCCGAUAUCAGAUUAGCUAGUUGGUGGGGUAAAAGCCCACCAAGGCGACGAUCUGUAGCUGGUCUGAGAGGACGACCAGCCACACUGGGACUGAGACACGGCCCAGACUCCUACGGGAGGCAGCAGUGGGGAAUUUUGGACAAUGGACGCAAGUCUGAUCCAGCCAUGCCGCGUGCGGGAAGAAGGCCUUCGGGUUGUAAACCGCUUUUGUCAGGGAAGAAACGAGUUUCUCUAAUACAGUGACUUAAUGACGGUACCUGAAGAAUAAGCACCGGCUAACUACGUGCCAGCCGCCGCGGUAACAC